GAUGAACGCUGGCGGCGUGCUUAAUACAUGCAAGUCGAACGGACAGGCGAUGCUCUUGCGGCGUGCUCGUGAGGCGAAGGGGGGAGUAAAACGCGAGUAACCUGUCCUUGAAAUUGUGAUAUCACUAGGAAAAAGGGGCUCUUACAGGAUAGGAGAUCUUGCACCACGUUGGGGAUAGGAAAGAUUCGGCGGUUGGGGAUGGACUCGCGGCUUCUGCGCUUGCUGGGGAGGUAGGGGCUUACCAGGGCUGUGAAGGAUAGGCGGCCUGAGAGGGUGACCGGCCACAUUGGGACUAAGGGACGGCCCAGACGCCAACGGUAGGCAGUGGGGGAGAAUAUGGCGCAAUGAGCGGGAGCCAGAUGCAGCAGCGCCGCGUGCGGGAUGACGUCCUUCGAGUUGUGAACCUCUUUCGACGGUGACGAAGCGUGAGUGACGGUAAUGGGUAAAAAAGCACCGGCUAACUACGUG
rnacentral:rRNA from 1 species